rnacentral:rRNA from 1 species
AGACGGGACCCGCACAAGCGGUGGAUGAUGUGGAUUAAUUCGAUGCAACGCGAAAAACCUUUACCUACCCUUGACAUGUCCGGAAUCCCGAAGAGAUUUGGGAGUGCUCGCAAGAGAGCCGGAACACAGGUGCUGCAUGGCUGUCGUCAGCUCGUGUCGUGAGAUGUUGGGUUAAGUCCCGCAACGAGCGCAACCCUUGUCAUUAGUUGCCAUCAUUUGGUUGGGCACUCUAAUGAGACUGCCGGUGACAAACCGGAGGAAGGUGGGGAUGACGUCAAGUCCUCAUGGCCCUUAUGGGUAGGGCUUCACACGUCAUACAAUGGUCGGUACAGAGGGUUGCCAACCCGCGAGGGGGAGCUAAUCCCACAAAGCCGAUCGUAGUCCGGAUCGCAGUCUGCAACUCGACUGCGUGAAGUCGGAAUCGCUAGUAAUCGUGGAUCAGCAUGUCACGGUGAAUACGUUCCCGGGUCUU